UUAUUAUGAACUUGUUUAUUUAUUUUCCGAACUUGUAGGAUUUAUGUUUUUAAACUUAUAUUUUAUGUUUGAGGAUGCUUAUUAUUUCUUAUGCUUGAUUGUCUAAACAGAGCUAACAUUAGGCAAGGAACAUCGAGUUUGACUCCAAGCACAUGCGAACAUCUGUGCUUCGCCAUCGAUCGAUAUGGAGAGGAUUACAUCGAUCGAUUCUAAGCGAGUAACAUCGAUCGAUAUGGAGAGGAUUACAUCGAUCGAUGUGUAGUACGGAUAGGUACUUCAUUUUAUCCUACCCUUGGACACUUUGCACCGAGUCGGUGCAAUUUAAGGCUGGGGGAGGUAGUUACUAACACCAUUUUCUCGAGUUUUUGUCAAAAAUCUUUAAAAAAAAAAAAAAUUAUUUUAUUGAGUCAAGAAGGGAAUUAUGAACUAAUGAUUUCUACUUGAAUGUCUAACCACUUUCUAGCACCAUUCUAGAUUUACUGACUGCAGAUAAUACUAUAGAUGCUAAAGUGGAUCAACCAGUCAACUAUGCACACUUGCUAACUUGUUAGAAAGAACCGAAGCUAACCUCCAACACUAACCUGACUUCACUGCUUGUUUUGGGGCUUGGUAUACAUGGGAUCGGAUUUUUCAGACAAGUCUGGAAGGUAACGCCUGGUUUAGAUUAUUU
rnacentral:lncRNA from 1 species